rnacentral:rRNA from 1 species
AGGACGAACGCUGGCGGCGUGCUUAACACAUGCAAGUCGAGGGGGCAGUUGGGGCAACCUGGCUGUCACCGGCGAACGGGUGCGUAACACGUGAGCGACCUACCUCUUGGCGGGGGAUAGCCGGCCCAAACGGCCGGGUAAUACCGCAUACGGCUCCCUUUUGGGCAUCUGGAGGGAGAAACUUUCGAGGCAGAGAGAGGGGCUCGCGGCCUAUCAGCUAGUGGCGGGUAACGCCCACAAGGCAUCGACGGUAGCGUGGUCUGAGAGGAUGGACCAGCCACGAUUGGGGACUGAGAGGACGGCCCAGACCUCCGUACGGGAGGCCAGCGAGGUGGGGAAUCGUUGCG